rnacentral:lncRNA from 1 species
CCCAACUUAAAAAUUUCAUAACAAAUAUCAGAGUAUUCAACACAUAACGGAAUGCUACACUUCUUAAAAAUCAUAAAUGAGAUAAUUAACUAAUUAUCUUUCCAAAAAUCAUAAACAUAUUAAUUCAAACUUAGCAGCGGAUUUAAUUCAUUAACAUAAGCAAGUCUUUGGCACGCAGGCCUUAUUAAAACAUAAGCAAUACGUAAAGGAAUAGAAAAUAGCCACAAAAGAUCUCAUCCCGUUACGUAUCAGAGCAUCCUAAGACUCAGUGAGGAAUAAGUCACUCACGACAGCAACACCAGCAACUUACUAACGAUCACCUGCAAGUUACUCAUACGAAGAGCAACAUUUCCAAGCAGAAGGGGUGAGAUUUCACAAAACAAUAAUAUUAAGCAUAUAAUUCAGCAAUUAUAUUUAAUCAACAUCAAAUCAUCUUAAUAUUCAUUAUAAAUAGUAAUAUAUCAUUUAGCACUUCAAUCAUAGUUUGAAUAAACAAUUACAACUUCACAACUUAUCAACAUAAACAUCCUUGACUCGACAAUGCGACUCCAACUCGACUAUGCAACUUAGACCUCUUAUAUGCAUGUGGUACCAAUACGGAGCAUCAAGCCCCUAUCGCUAUUUAAGUAUUAAUAUACUCCAGAGCAUCAAGCCCCUAUCGCUAUUUAAGUAUUAAUAUACUCCAGAGCAUCAAGACCCUAUCGCUUAUUUAAGUAUUAAUAUACUCUAGAGCAUCAAGCCCCCAACAAAGAAUGCUAAUGCAUGGACUCGACUUCUUAAACAUCUUAAUUCGACAACCUCUUAUAUAAUCCAAUACUUUGGAACUUAAUCAUCUUAAUCAACUUAGACCGACUCAUGCAGCUUAGUUAAAUAACAACAGCAACACAGUAAUAUACAAAAACAACAUGACAUAAUAAUAUCAAAUGCAAGUCAACAACGUCUCAAUUGUUCACAUAUAAUUCAAGUAAUGCAUAUACAAUUAUAUCACAAUAUAACAUCAUCAAAACAUAUCAUCAAUUUAAUUUACCGCUACACAUCAUUAGUUACCAAAAUUAUUUUAAAAUAAUUCAAACAUUCGAAUCUCAAAAGAAAUCAAUUAUACUCUGUAAUUUGCAUUUUUAAGGUUCAUAUAUGAAAUUGAGAAGUUUAAAAUAUCACUAUAUUGACAUUCCUAAAAAAAAUCACUAUAUUGACAUCUUUGAGAUAUGCACCAGUACUGCUUUCCGAAAUAAAAUUAAAAUUCAUAAGCCACAACCAAAUCGAUCAUUUACAGCUAAUGGAUAGUUAACAAUUCUUGAUAUCAUGUCCCUUUAGUUAUGCAGCAAGUGAUCCCUAAAUUCAAGCCAAAUAUAUGCAUAUGCUAACUUAAAAUAAAACAAACCGAAAACAAAAACAAAUCAAACAUGUAGCAUGUUUAUCAAUCAGAUCAUAUUCAAUAAAACAAAAAGAACAUCAAUUGUAUCCUAUUCUUAAAUCGAUAAACAUACAUGGGGUUUAGUUCGGCAUUUAGGUAGAAAUAAUGAAAGGUCAGAGAACUAAAACAUGACAAACAAAGAACAUGUAACCCAAAAAUAAAUAGGUCAACGACAACAAAUAUUACGAAAGUUUCAGAUUACGAUUUAAAAUUAUAUAAUUGGAGUAAAUACAGUACCAUAUUAUUCCAUCAACAUGAACACCACCUAUUACUUUAAUUCAUCUGAUUAUCUACUCUUUCUACAUCAAUCUAACAAUUUUUCAUCAAUUCCUCACUUUAACCCUAAUUAUCAAAUCCUUCAAAACUAAUCCCACCCUUGUUAAAUUUAAUCAUCAGAAUUACAGACCUAAUAAGAUUGAAUGUUAGUCUCACCCUUACCUUAGAAUAAGAAAAUCGCAGCCUCUAUGUGCUUAUCUC